UAGCUACGGAAACAGAACAGGUAAUAACAUUAUAUAUACGGGAUACAUAUAUACUGUAUCUAACUAACAAGAAAGCAAUCUAAAUCAGUGGCUGUAAAAAAACUGCUUUAUGCAUGAUUUCAGUUUCUUUCAUACGGACAAUAUAUCCAUAUUAGGUUUUCCCUUGUUUUUAUCUCUAGCCAUCGCUUCUAAUAACAUUGCUUACCGUGUUCGGUCUUAGAGUAUGUUUCGCGUCAUUUGUACGGACGGGUAUAGGCGUACUUUGCAGAGACAAAAGUGUUAGCCCAGUAGGUCUUUGGAGUAUUGUUUUUUUAACCCUGCUUUCUUUAAUUAUUUUCCACAGGCGUAUGAUGCAACCGCAAUCUAAUUAAGCAGUAUCCCUUCAUAUGCAUGCUCCCAAUAAUACGACAUGGACCUUUUGCUCAAUUAACUAUAGCUGAAAGAAUCUAAAAAAAGGAGCGGGUUUACGGAUCUACGAUGAAACAUAAUUGGGUGCAAUAUUUCCUUUUUUUUAAUUUUAGUAUGCCACAUCUCGAUCGAUAGUCCUUUUUAGGCUAAAGACUAACUUGUUAAAUUGAUCCACAAAAGAGAGGAGCGAGCGAAAGAGAAGCGUGCGUGACAACCAUUAGCAACAAAAAAAAAUAGCACCAUCUGAUCUGGUGGCUGUGAGAUUACCACUGAAGGAAAGAUAGCGUGCAUAUAAAAUUGGGUGUCGACUACACAUAUAUAGGAUUCAUCACCUAGUGGUGGUGUUUGGUCUUUUAUUUAUGUUAUUUAUAAUUAUUCUUCAGAUGUGGGGGUGGGCCAUAUAUUAUCCGUAUGCAGCAUCAGCUUCAUGAAUGGUAGGGACAAAACAUUGUAGAAGUCGCACUGCAGCUACAAUUUGUAGAGACAAAAUACUGUAGAAGUCGCAGCCCCAGCGAACAUGUCCAAGCCCAGGUAGGGUCCAGGAGCUAUGCAGAAUAUCCUCACCUUUCUUUUUGGCUAUAUGAUACAAUAUAUAGUGUGCUCCAUUUCAGUCCAAAUAGCUGUACUGCUUCAUACCAAAAGGGGGGCAUAACCUGUGUACUGCAAUUGUGGGAGAUCAUCCUAUUUGUGCCGUCCUUCAUGUUAGGUUAUAACCAAAGUACAAUGCCUAUUUUUUUAGUAUAACCAAAUUAAGUACCAUGCGUACGUACUGGCAAUAAGAUUUUUUUUUUGGUUUACACUUUGAAAGAUCAUAAAAAUCGACAAAUCUCGACAUUGAUCACCAAGCCACCAUAGAUACAUCGCUAUCGACGACGUAGAUAUCUUCUUCUGCCACUGAAAGAAAAGAAUAUAUGACAGGUCAUGGCUCACGAGUUGUUGAUACGACUGGCCCAGUGCCACGUCACCAACCUUAUCACCCAAUGCCAUGAGUUGCCACGAGACAACGGCGUGAUGCAUCAUGCAUGGCGAUCUGGGCUACGACCUACGAGCCUUGCCACCAGGCUAACCGUAGGUGAGGGACAGGUGCAGGACCUAGUGGGGGUCAUUCAGCACAACGCUAAAAAAAUGCAUGCAUGCAUGGAUGGGCGAGAGAAUGAAGAGAGAGGCGGUGCAAGGAAAGAGAUGGGCGGGGCAGCAGCUGGAUCGAGACCAUGGGAAAAGCUACGCCUACGUACUGAUCUGUGCUGUUUGUUUCCGCUACAGGAAGCUGAAUGCAUGCCAUCCAUGUCCGACUGGCCGCGGGGGUCCAGACGCGCCAUGGACCGACAGCCCAGCGGCAAAGAGGCCCGCCCGCUGCUUGCAUAGCUUGGUCCCGGUGUCUGUACGCGAUCUUCCGUACUACUUAGGCUCAAGAUAAAGAUACCGUAGGUGCAGUGCCCAUGUCGUCUCGUCUCGUCUCCUCUCAGGCGCAUCAGAACAGAUAAAGGCAGCCAGCCAAGCCUACUGGCAGUCUGGCACUGGCACUGCCAUUCGUCGAGGGAUGACUGGCAGGCAGGUAGAUCGCAGCUUUCCUGGUCAGAUCACACAACAUCUUGAACGCGUCAAGAGUGGACGCACGGGGACCAUGCCUGGAUUUCUGGAUCGAUCGAGGGAUGAUGAUGAUCAUCAUCCCAUAUCUAUGUAAGUAUGAUGCAGAUACGUGUCGGUGCCAAGGCACCAACUUCACUCAUUGCCUUCCCCCCGCCCUAGAUAGAUCAGUGACCGGCCGGACUCUGCCCUGGCGUCGACGAAUCGCGCUCUCAUGGUCCGCCCUCCAGCUCGACAGGCCAGGAAAUAAGAUAACGUUGCAUCACGUUGCACUGUACUUGCAGCCCCUCCAGAAUGCCUAAAAGGAGGUGUUGACGCCUUUUCGGAGCGCCAAAUACUCAAGAAGAACCGGCGGCGGUGCCCUCUGCACAGAGGCGGACGGUCCGCGCGCAGGGCCGGACGGUCCGCGGCC
rnacentral:lncRNA from 1 species